GCAGUGGCGGUUCAUUGGCAGAAUUCUCACCUCCCAUAUAGAAGACCCAGGUUCAAUUCCUGGCCGAUGCA
rnacentral:tRNA from 1 species